rnacentral:tRNA from 1 species
GUCCCGUUCGUCUAGUGGCCUAGGACACCGCCCUUUCACGGCGGUAACACGGGUUCGAACCCCGUACGGGACGCCA